AAACCAACAGGGAUUGCCUCAGUAACGGCGAGUGAAGCGGCAAAAGCUCAAAUUUGAAAUCCCCCCGGGGAAUUGUAAUUUGAAGAUUGUGUUUUGGAAACGACCGUGUCUAUGUUCCUUGGAACAGGACGUCACAGAGGGUGAGAAUCCCGUGCGGCACGGCCACCGUUUCCUUAUAAAACACUCUCGACGAGUCGAGUUGUUUGGGAAUGCAGCUCAAAGUGGGUGGUAAAUUCCAUCUAAAGCUAAAUACAGGCGAGAGACCGAUAGCGAACAAGUACAGUGAUGGAAAGAUGAAAAGCACUUUGAAAAGAGAGUGAAACAGUACGUGAAAUUGUUGAAAGGAAGGGCAUGCCGUCAGAUUGUCAGUGUGGGUAAGAAGCGGGGUACAAAGACUGUGGAACGUGGCCCUCGGGUGUUAUAGCCACAGUUCAUCCCUGUCUCUUUCCGAGGCCUGCUUUGAGGACACCGACGUAAUGACGGUACGCCGCCCGUCUUGAAACCACGGA
rnacentral:rRNA from 1 species